rnacentral:rRNA from 1 species
AAUCCUGUCAGGAGUUAAGAAAUGUAAGUUUGAGAAUACCAAAUUUACUUGACAAAGGCUCCAAAGGAAGCCACGGCUAACUCUGUGCCAGCAGCCGCGGUAAUACAGAGGUGGCGAGCGUUGUUCGGAAUUAUUGGGCGUAAAGAGCACGUAGGUGGAUUUGUAAGUCAGAUGUGAAAGCCUUCUGUUCAACGGAAGAAUUGCAUCUGAAACUACAAACCUUGAGUAUAGGAGGGGAGAGUGGAACUUCUGGUGGAGCGGUGAGAUGCGUAGAUAUCAGAAGGAACGCCGGCGGCGAAAGCGACUCUCUGGUCUAUUAC